CUCAUUUCAAAGGGAGCCAGAAUUUGGUUAGCAAUUCUGGGUGCCUUCCAAGAGUGAUUGAAAUGAAAAUAUGUUCCUCCUAAACAAGAGGAAAUUCCAAUAGGCUAAGGAGAAAUGGGACCUUAGGACCACUGAGAACACAUAUAAUUAACUCAGUACACAUUUACUCAAUACACAUCCAUCCAUUCUUGAGACAUAUGUAUAUUAAAAAUAUAAAUUAGUAUUUUAAAGAUUUUUCAGGUUGGUGUUGGUACAAACAAAAACUAUGUUAUUGGUUAAAGAUUUGAGAUUUUAUUAAGAAUUCCAGGAAGUUAGAUGCUUCCUGGAGAUAAUACAAAAGCCACAGAGAUGUUGGUCCAGAUAGUGUUGAAAAGUCUAGCUUUGGGUGUUGGCGAGGGUGUGGGAAAGUAUAAAUUGGGACAACCUGUCUGGAAGGGAGGGUAGCUUGCCAGUGUGUUUCAAAAGUGAUUAAAAUAUAGCUAUUCUUUGAUUAAGUAAUUUCACUUUAGGAAUCUAUGCUUAAGGAAAUAAAAAGAUAAAAAUGUGUAUAUUUGAGGAUUUUCAUUGCAAUAAUAUUUGUUAAAGAAAAACCCAACAAACAAAUCUAUAAACAACUAAAAUAGCUAUAAAUAAGAGAUUGGUUAAAUAAAUUAGAAUUCAACCAUUCUCUGAAAAACAUUAUUCAGUGUUUCAAAAUAUUGAUGUGGAAAGAUGUCUGUUAAGACUUUUUAAAAAUUAUUAUUUUAAAAUUAUUAUUAUUUUUUAGAGACACGGUUUCUCCAUGUUGUCCAGGCUAGUCUUGAACUCCUGGGCUCAAGCAAUCCUCCCAUCUCGGCCUCCCAAAGUGUUGGGAUUGCAGGCAUGAGCCACCAUGCCUGGCCUUGUUAAGAGUCUUGAUUGAUAAAAGCAGGCUAUAAAACAGCUAUUUUUAUAAGGUGGAGGGAGUAUAUAUACAUGCAGGUAUGCCCUAUGUAUAUGUAAAGAAAAGGUCUAGAAAUAUAUACGCCAAAAUGUCAACAAUUGUGGAAUCUUGAGUAAUUUUUACUUUCUGUAAAAGUAAUUUAUACUUUACUUUCUGAAUUUUGUAUAGAGGGCAGUUUAUUCCUUUUUGGAGAAAUUUCAAAAAUAGAGCAAAGUAUGAAGAAUGAUAUAACAACAGCUGUCAAUCCACAACCCAGAAAUGAUUAUCAUUAGCACUUUGUUAUGUUUGUUUCAGCCUUUUUAAAUAAUAGAAAUGAAAUAUUGAAGUUUAAGUAGCCGUUCCCAUUCCCCUUUCGUAUCUGAAGAACCAACUGCUACUGGGUGUUUAGUGUAUGUACAGAGGACAUACACUGAGAUUGGUCAGUGUUUCACAGAGGGAAAAAACAAAUAGAACAAAUAUAACAUAUAUACAUUUUACAUUUGUUAAUUUUUGUCAAUCUGAUGGAUGGGAAAUAGAAUCUCACCCUGGUUUAAUUGGCAUUGCUCUUGUUACUAAAGAUGGCUUAAUGGUCAUUUAGGUUUCCUCUUCCAUGGAUCAUCUAUUUAUUUAUUUUAUUUGUUUUUCUAUUGGACUGCUUAUCUUUUACUUAAUAAUGGAUUCUUUUUAUGUUCUGGAUAUUGUAUGAUGCAAAUAUACAAUAUACUAAUGUAUAUAUAGUAUAUAUAUGUUGCAUUAUAAUGUGUAUAUAUAUAAUAUAUAUACUAAUUUACUCAUGUUAUAUGUAUAUUUUAUAUAUAAUAUAUGUAAUAUCACAUGAUUAUGCAGGUGGGAAAGUCCCAGGAACUGCAGGGUGAGUUGGCAAGCUGGAGACCAAGGAGAGCUGAUGGUAUAGUUCCAAUGUGAAGGUGGCAGGCUCUACACCCAGAAAGAGGUGAUGUUUCAGUUUGAGUCCAAAGGCAGGAAAAAAGCCAAUGUCCCAUUUUGAAGGCAGUCAGGGAGGAGAAAUUCUCUUUUACUCAGGGGAGAGCUGGCUUUUUUGUUCUAGUUAGGCCUUCAAGAGACUGGAUGAGGCCAACCUCCACCUCUACCAGGGUGAAGGCAAUCUGCUGAAUUCAGUCUAUGGAUUCAAAUGUUCAUCUCAUUAAAUGUUAUUCUAUUAUUCAAACAUCCACAAUAAUGUUUGACCAAAUAUCUGGACACUUUCUGGCCCAGUCAUUUUUACAUUUGACAUGUAAAAUUAACCACUGCUGUCUUCCCAGUCUAUUUUUUAAGCCAUGUAUUGAAGUUUAAUUUACAUACAGUUUUAGCACACAGUCCUAUGAGUUCUUCCAAUUUGUUUUAAACAGACACACACACACAUAUGUAUUCAUUAAAAUGCAGAAUUGUUUGCAUUGGUUUUAACAUCAAUAUAAAAGUAAUCACAUUUUUAUUUUAA
rnacentral:lncRNA from 1 species